UAGCAUUUUAGUUUUUUUUACUUAAUAAUAUAAUUUCUUUUUUUUAGUCUUAGGCAUAACUCAUCUACGACAUGGAAGUUUCGUUGGUUAAAAAGAGGGAUGUGCUGUCAUCGUAUUUUUUCCGCAACACGAAAAUCCGUUAUUGGUACCUGAUCUUUGACAAAGAAAAUGUCCCUGAAAUUAGCGUCGACUCUCGGCGACGAAAACAAUUAUUUGAGUCUUUUAGAGAUGAUUACUAAUUUCAUCUCUUCUAUUCACCUAGGGAGUUAAAAACUUUUCUAGAAUACCUUUUUAAUACAUAAAUUUUGAAAAAAUUGUCUUAUUCUUUUCGGUUUCGUGAAAAAAGAUCUUUUCGACGCUCAGCGUCGACGCUAAAUUUAGAGAACUCAAACAAGUUUCGCCGGUUUGAAGGAGGGAUACGCUGUAAUCGUAUUUCUUUCGCAACGUAAAAAUCCACUAUAAUGGAUGAAGACCUGAAGAAUAUGGAGAAGAAAAGUGGUCCCUGCACACUGCCGUUCUUUUUUUUUCUUUUUUUUUUAAGGAAAUUUUACACGGAGAGUUUGUUAUUUAAUAUUCAAAUUUGAUAUUUUUAUUUAAUAUUUUUCUUACUAUUUAAUUUAAUUUUUUUCAAGUAAUAUCCUAGUAAAUUACAGUAUUGUAGUAUAAAUGAUUUCUAGUAAUUGAUACAAUUUGUUUAGCAAGUCAAAAUUGACGAUUGAAUCUAGUAGAUUCUCUAAAGUAGAAUCUACUAGGUUUUUAGGUCUCUCUCGUUUUUUGUAAUAAUUUCCGAACGGUUCCGUGUGGCCCUCGAUCUGACGCAGAAGUGCAAGGAAGAGUCAGGGAUCUUCGAGGGUGGCCCAAGAAGGGAUGAUGUAGUGGAGGAUCCCAUCAUCACAACGUGGGAAUCAUCAGAUCAAUUAAUUGAUCUCAUCAAAUAAUGAGUCAAUUGUUAGUUGAUUAUUUCAUAAAUUUUAUUGCAUUUCCAUCCUUCCUUGU